rnacentral:rRNA from 1 species
UACAGAGGUCCCAAGCGUUGUUCGGAUUUACUGGGCGUAAAGGGCGCGUAGGCGGUCAGCACAAGUCAGUUGUGAAAUCUCCGGGCUUAACUCGGAAAGGUCAACUGAUACUGUGCGACUAGAGUGCGGAAGGGGCAACUGGAAUUCUCGGUGUAGCGGUGAAAUGCGUAGAUAUCGAGAGGAACACCUGCGGCGAAGGCGGGUUGCUGGGCCGACACUGACGCUGAUGCGCGAAAGCCAGGGGAGCGAACGGG